AGCUUCUUCUCUUCCUCUUUUCUCACACUUCCAAGAGUGUGCAGAUUUGCAUUGCCACAUUAGAGGUGUUGGUGGCGCAUUUUCCCGACUAGCAAUGAGGCACAACGGUGGCGACGACCCCCGCCGGGGUCGUCAUGUGCCACAAAUCUUAGUGGCAUUGGCCAUUUUGGCUGUUGCUAAUAUUGUUUCUGCUGACCCUUACGUAUAUGCUUCUCCCCCACCACCAACUUACGAGUACAAGUCACCACCCCCUCCUUCUCCUUCUCCGCCACCGCCUUAUGAGUACAAGUCUCCACCACCUCCUUCACCAUCUCCACCCCCACCUUAUGUGUAUAAAUCACCACCACCUCCUUCACCAUCUCCUCCACCUCCGUAUGUGUACAAGUCGCCACCCCCUCCAUCACCAUCACCUCCACCACCAUAUGUGUAUAAAUCACCCCCACCUCCUUCACCAUCUCCACCACCUCCGUAUGUGUACAAGUCACCACCACCUCCAUCACCUUCUCCUCCACCUCCAUAUGUGUAUAAAUCACCACCACCUCCUUCACCAUCACCACCUCCACCUUAUUAUUACAAGUCUCCCCCACCACCUUCACCUUCACCACCUCCACCUUAUUAUUACAAGUCUCCCCCACCACCUUCUCCAUCACCACCUCCACCAUACUAUUACAAGUCUCCUCCACCACCUUCACCUUCACCACCUCCACCUUAUUAUUACAAGU
rnacentral:lncRNA from 1 species